rnacentral:rRNA from 1 species
GUAGGUGGCAAGCGUUGUCCGGAAUUAUUGGGCGUAAAGCGCGCGCAGGCGGUUCUUUAAGUCUGAUGUGAAAGCCCACGGGCUCAACCGUGGAGGGUCAUUGGAAACUGGAGAACUUGAGUACAGAAGAGGAAAGCGAAAUUCCACGUGUAGCGGUGAAAUGCGUAGAGAUGUGGAGGAACACCAGUGGCGAAGGCGGCUUUCUGGUCUGUAACUGACGCUGAGGCGCGAAAGCGUGGGGAGCAAACAGGAUUAGAUACCCUGGUAGUCCACGCCGUAAACGAUGAGUGCUAAGUGUUAGGGGGUUUCCGCCCCUUAGUGCUGCAGCUAACGCAUUAAGCACUCCGCCUGGGGAGUACGACCGCAAGGUUG